CCUCUCUCCCCAAUGGCGUCGCCUGGUUCGCCGCCGCAGUGUUUGUGUUGUUGCAAUCUCGUUCUUUCUCAUUUGCUUGGGGGUUUGGGCAUAUCACAAUCUGAGGCAAGGUUUCGUAUUCGAUGAAACGAGAAGGAUGGAUGAUUCUUAGAGCCAAAUCGAGCAUGGGAUUCAUUGUCUUUUGAACGAUGGAUCCUCUCUUUCGGCGAGGCAUCUGAUGUUGGCCAUCAUGAAAUUAUACAUUUGUAGCUCAUCCCAUCCUGAGGUUCGUUUGCUGUGCUUGGGUUGAUGCAGUUCUUGUAGUCACUGCUAUUGCAUUGUGUUUAGGAUGGUCGAUAUGGCAGUCUGCGGUUGGAGGAAUAUUGAGACAAGGCUUCAGGCAGUCGGUAGCUUGCACAAGAACUGUUGUUGGUAUUGGAUGAUGAUAACGAAGCAAUACAAGCUAACCUUGUGGAAGGAGACUUUACCCUGCCUACUCAAAGGUGGUAGAUAAACACAAAUGUAAAGAUGGUUCAGCAAAAGUAUAUGGGCCAUUAUAUUUCUAGUUUGAUAAGUUUAAUUCUUUCAUUUCCAUUUUUUUUGCAAACUUUUAACCUGCUGGAUUUUUACUAGUACACUAUAAAUGUUAAUGGGUUGAUUUUUUUAAAAAAAUUAUUAUUAUUAUUAUCUUCCAAGUAUUUAAGUCAGUAAGGGAUCUCUUGUUUGUGAGAUGAUGAACAAUUCCUAUAAAGUGAUUUUACUUCGCAUGA